UACGUAGGGCGCAAGCGUUUGUCCGGAAUUAUUGGGCGUAAAGAGCUCGUAGGCGGUUUGUCGCGUCUGCUGUGAAAUCCCGAGGCUCAACCUCGGGCUUGCAGUGGGUACGGGCAGACUAGAGUGCGGUAGGGGAGACUGGAAUUCCUGGUGUAGCGGUGGAAUGCGCAGAUAUCAGGAGGAACACCGGUGGCGAAGGCGGAGACCUGGGCCAAUACUGACGC
rnacentral:rRNA from 1 species